rnacentral:rRNA from 1 species
GACGAACGCUGGCGGCGUGCUUAACACAUGCAAGUCGAGCGGUAAGGCCCUUUCGGGGGUACACGAGCGGCGAACGGGUGAGUAACACGUGGGUGACCUGCCCUUAGCCCUGGGAUAAGCCUGGGAAACUGGGUCUAAUACCGGAUAUGACUCCAUGACGCAUGUUGUGGGGUGGAAAGCCUUGUGCGGCUAGGGAUGGGCCCGCGGCCUAUCAGCUUGUUGGUGGGGUGAUGGCCACCAAGGCGACGACGGGUAGCCGGCCUGAGAGGGCGACCGGCCACACUGGGACUGAGACACGGCCCAGACUCCUACGGGAGGGCAGCAGUGGGGAAGUCUUGCGCAAUGGGCGAAAGCCUGACGCAGCGACGCCGCGUGGGGA